rnacentral:tRNA from 1 species
GUUUCCUGUAGUGUAGUGGUUAUCACGUUCGCCCUCACACGCGAAAGGUCCCGGUUCGAAACCGGGCAGAAACA